rnacentral:rRNA from 1 species
UACAGAGGGGGCAAGCGUUGUUCGGAAUUACUGGGCGUAAAGGGCGCGUAGGCGGCCUGUUAAGUCGAACGUGAAAUCCCCGGGCUCAACCCGGGAACUGCGUCCGAUACUGGCAGGCUUGAAUCCGGGAGGGGGUAGCGGAAUUCCCAGUGUAGCGGUGAAAUGCGUAGAUAUUGGGGAGGAACACCAGUGGCGAAGGCGGCUACCUGGACCGGUUCUGACGCUGAGACGCGAAAGCGUGGGGAGCAAACAGG